GCUGAGGUCUAUCAAUGGGGCUUUUUCUGUAGACCCACAUCAUUGGAAUCACCUCACAGAGUAACUUUGGUUUCUUUUACUCACAGAAUUACAUGUUAGAUCUGUGGGAAAGAACUAUAAAACAGAA
ensembl:snoRNA